AACGAACGCUGGCGGCGUGGAUAAGACAUGCAAGUCGAACGGGACUUUUUUCGGUAGCAAUACUGAGAAUAGUUUAGUGGCGAACGGGUGCGUAACACGUGGGCAAUCUGCCGAGAAGUGGGGGAUAGCUCGCCGAAAGGCGAAUUAAUACCGCAUAUGAUCAGGGACGACAUCUUCCCAACAUCAAAGCCGGGGCAACCUGGCGCUUUUUGAGGAGCCCGCGGCCUAUCAGCUAGUUGGUGAGGUAACGGCCCACCAAGGCUUUGACGGGUAGCUGGUCUGAGAGGACGACCAGUCACACUGGAACUGAGACACGGUCCAGACACCUACGGGUGCAGCAGUCGAGAAUUUUUUCUCAAUGGGGAAAACCUGAAGGAGCGACGCCGCGUGGAGGAUGAA
rnacentral:rRNA from 1 species